ACCAGUGUAGUGUAGUGGUUUAUAUUUUGGACUAUGGCUCUGGAGAUCAGGGUUUGAAUCCCUGCUCAGCCA